UGAGGAACAUGACCUUCGGCGGGGGAUAGCCGGCCCAACGGCCGGGUAAUACCGCGUACGACCACAUGGGGACAUCCCUGAGUGGUGAAAGCAGCAAUGCGCCGAUGGAGUGCCUCGCGGCCUAUCAGCUAGUUGGUGAGGUAACGGCUCACCAAGGCAACGACGGGUAGCUGGUCUGAGAGGAUGGCCAGCCACAGUUGGGACUGAGACACGGCCCAGACUNACGGGAG
rnacentral:rRNA from 1 species